rnacentral:rRNA from 1 species
GCUUAGAAGCAGCCAUCCUUGAAAGAGUGCGUAACAGCUCACUGGUCAAGUGAUUCUGCGCCGAUAAUGUAGCGGGGCUCAAGUACACCGCCGAAGUUGUGGCAAUGACCCUUUGGGGUUGUUGGGUAGGGGAGCGUCGUGUGGCCGGUGAAGCUGCGGUGUAAACCAGUGGUGGAGGCUAUGCGAGUGAGAAUGCAGGCAUGAGUAGCGAAAGAUGAGUGAGAAACUCAUCCGCCGGAUGAUCAAGGGUUCCAGGGUCAAGUUAAUCUGCCCUGGGUUAGUCGGGGCCUAAGGCGAGGCCGACAGGCGUAGUCGAUGGAUAACGGGUUGAUAUUCCCGUACCGGUGAAAAACCGCCCAUACUGAUAUUGUGAUGCUAACCAUGCGAAGCAUGAUGUGCAGGCUUUUGUUUGUGUGUUGUGUGGGUUGUGGGACCCGAUCUUUGGAGGUAAACGUGUUAACAGGUGUGACGCAGGAAGGUAGCCAAGCCACGCGAUGGUUGUCGUGGUCUAAGCGUGUAGGGUUGUCGGUUGUUAAAUGCGCCGGCUGUGUGCCUGAGACGUGAUGGGACCCCGUUUUUGGGGGAUUUGGUGAUCCUAUGCUGCCGAGAAAAGCAUCGGCGUGAGGUUUUAGCCGCCCGUACCCUAAACCGACACAGGUGAUCAGGUAGAGAAUACUAAGGCGAUCGAGAGAAUCAUGGUUAAGGAACUCGGCAAAAUGCCCCCGUAACUUCGGGAGAAGGGGGACCUUGAGCGUGAUGGGCACUUGCUGCCUGGAGCGUGUAUGGGUCGCAGAGACCAGGGGGAAGCGACUGUUUAUCAAAAACACAGGUCCGUGCGAAGUCGUAAGACGAUGUAUACGGACUGACUCCUGCCCGGUGCUGGAAGGUUAAGAGGAUUGGUUAGCUCUUUUGGGCGAAGCUGAGAAUUUAAGCCCCAGUAAACGGCGGUGGUAACUAUAACCAUCCUAAGGUAGCGAAAUUCCUUGUCGGGUAAGUUCCGACCUGCACGAAUGGAGUAACGACUUCCCUACUGUCUCAACCAUGAACUCGGCGAAAUUGCAGUACGAGUAAAGAUGCUCGUUUCGCGCAGCAGGACGGAAAGACCCCGUGACCUUUACUAUAGUUUGGUAUUGGUGUUUGGUUUGGCUUGUGUAGGAUAGGUGGGAGACUGUGAAGCAUGGACGCUAGUUUGUGUGGAGUCGUUGUUGAAAUACCACUCUGGUCAAUCUGGAUGUCUAACUUCGGGCCAUGAUCUGGUUCAGGGACAGUGCCUGAUGGGUAGUUUAACUGGGGCGGUUGCCUCCUAAAGUGUAACGGAGGCGCCCAAAGGUUCCCUCAGCCUGGUUGGCAAUCAGGUGUUGAGUGUAAGUGCACAAGGGAGCUUGACUGUGAGACUGGCAGGUCGAGCAGGGACGAAAGUCGGGACUAGUGAUCCGGCGGUACGUUGUGGAACGGCCGUCGCUCAACGGAUAAAAGGUACCUCGGGGAUAACAGGCUGAUCUUGCCCAAGAGUCCAUAUCGACGGCAUGGUUUGGCACCUCGAUGUCGGCUCGUCGCAUCCUGGGGCUGGAGUCGGUCCCAAGGGUUGGGCUGUUCGCCCAUUAAAGCGGUACGCGAGCUGGGUUCAGAACGUCGUGAGACAGUUCGGUCCCUAUCCGCUGCGCGCGUUGGAAAUUUGAGAAAGGCUGUCCUUAGUACGAGAGGACCGGGACGGACGAACCUCUGGUAUGUCAGUUGUACCGCCAGGUGCAUGGCUGAUUGGCUACGUUCGGGAGGGAUAACCGCUGAAAGCAUCUAAGCGGGAAGCCUGUUUCGAGAUGAGAUUUCCUGGCACUUUGGGUGUGUGAGGCUCCUUAUAGAUGAUGAGGUUGAUAGGCCGGGUAUGGAAGCGGGGACUGAAGACUCGUGGAGUUGACUGGUACUAAUAGGCCGAAGGCUUACUUU